rnacentral:rRNA from 1 species
AUUGAACGCUGGCGGCAGGCUUAACACAUGCAAGUCGAGCGGAGACUUCGGUCUUAGCGGCGAACGGGUGAGUAAUACCUAGGAAUCUGCCUAUUAGUGGGGGAUAACGGCUCGAAAGGGUCGCUAAUACCGCAUACGUCCUACGGGAGAAAGUGGGGGAUCUUCGGACCUCACGCUAAUAGAUGAGCCUAGGCCGGAUUAGCUAGUUGGUAGGGUAAAGGCCUACCAAGGCGACGAUCCGUAGCUGGUCUGAGAGGAUGAUCAGCCACACUGGAACUGAGACACGGUCCAGACUCCUACGGGAGGCAGCAGUGGGGAAUAUUGGACAAUGGGGGCAACCCUGAUCCAGCCAUGCGCGUGUGUGAAGAAGGCCUCGGUUGUAAG